UGAGGAAUAUUGGUCAAUGGACGCAAGUCUGAACCAGCCAAGUAGCGUGCAGGAUGACGGCCCUAUGUGUUGUAAACUGCUUUUAUAUGGGGAUAAAGUGGGGAACGUGUUCCCUUUUGCAGGUACCAUAUGAAUAAGGACCGGCUAAUUCCGUGCCAGCAGCCGCGGUAAUACGGAAGGUUCGGGCGUUAUCCGGAUUUAUUGGGUUUAAAGGGAGCGUAGGCCGUUUGGUAAGCGUGUUGUGAAAUGUAGGAGCUCAACUUCUAGAUUGCAGCGCGAACUGUCAGACUUGAGUGCGCACAACGUAGGCGGAAUUCAUGGUGUAGCGGUGAAAUGCUUAGAUAUCAUGAAGAACUCAGAUUGCGAGGGCAGCUUACGGGAGCGCAACUGACGCUGAAGCUCGAAGGUGCGGGUAUCGAACAGG
rnacentral:rRNA from 1 species